GGGCGGAGCCAGCGGGGUUAUGGCGGCCUUCCGAACCGAGCGGAGGGCCCGGAUGUAGAAGCAGCAGGCUGUUUGUGUAGCAGCUUGCGAUUUCGGUUCUCUUUCUUCAAAGCUGUUAAAAGAGGACGCCAGCCAGGAGUAGAGUCGCAGAGAUGGAUGCCGCCAACCAAGAGAAAAACACCGGAAGGCUGAGGAUGCUAUGGAGGAUGCUAAAGUGAGAGACAGAACAGGGGCACCUCAGGGUCUGGGCGGUUCUUACUAAAUGCCAUUCUUGCUAAAUGUUAAAACGGAGCGCAGUUAUUUUGUAGACGCAACUGGAACCGGAUGAGCCUGACCGGAACCCAACGGGACACCCCAAGCGGCCGACCCCUUGAGUACGGUAACAAAAGCUCCGCGGAAGCUGCACUUGAGUCACCAAAGAUGUGUCCGGAGGGACGGGUGAAAGGCUGUGAGAGCGCAGUGGUGGCCUGUGUGUGGAGACCGCGGCCGGGGACUGGCAGCAGGAGGUUCCUCGGUCGUUUCCGAUUGUGUUUCUGGGCUGGAAUCAGCAAUGUUUGGGUGUCCUCAGAAAUGAGGUUUCCUUCAGAGUGAAAUACGCACAUGGACUUUCCUCGCUGAAUUGUGAAAUGAAAGAAAGGGUUUUAAAAGCCCUCAGACAUCAAAGGGAAAGGGUGAGGACUAAGAGCAUAUAGAGGACCAAAGCCUGGGCAAGGUGAGCAAAGGCUUGGAUUGUGAGCAAAAUACGCCGGGCUAGGGAGCGGUGAGAGGCCAUCAGUGGCCGGAACAGUGACACGUUCAAGGGUAAUCACACGUCCUAAUUCCGCAAUUCUUCACCAGGGGAGAUGCAGCUUAGUUUCACGUUUGUUUUCAACAAAAACUCAAUAAGGCCAACAUACUCUAUCCAGAGUCUUCUUAAUAUUUGAAGUAAUAAAUUUUAAUAACUCGACUUUUGAGUUUGUGAUCCUUUCGAGGCACUGUUCUAAUCGCUUUACAUGCAUUACCUCAUUACCUUGUAACAAAAAUUCUAUGAGCUGUGUAUUACUAUUUUCAUCUUAGGAGAAGCUGGUGCGCAAAGAGAUUAGGUAACUUGCCCAAGAUCACACAUUGUAGUAACUGGUGAAGCUGAAAAACAGUCUGAAACCAGAGCCUGUGCCUCCAACCACUGUAUUUACAUGGCUCCCUCAGCAGUGCUGAGCACGUUGCCAAAAAGUAUGAGGUCCUUGAAUGACGUCAUUUUGUUCAGUGAUGUUUCCUUAUAGCGUUGAUGAGAUGGUGUGGGAACUUAAUCCUUGUUUAUAUCAAUUAGCCUGCGGUAAACUUGGUUUCAUUAUACAAUGUUUCGCUUAAAGUUGCAGAGCCCUUUGAUGACAUUAAGCAAGAACUUCCUGUACUGGAAUAAAAAGAGUGACUUGGUUCUGA